AUCUGUCCACAUACAUAUGCUUAAGCUCCAAGUUCUUCUCCUUCUCCUUUACUCUACAUGUUUACAAAACCAGAAAUUCAGAUUGAAGAAUUCAACCAAAAACCAAUUCCUCUCCUCUCUUGUUUCUCUGGUUCAAACUAACCCCCACCACCACCACUGCUCAACCACCGACCACUGCACCUAGCCUCAGCCACCCAGCACCACGCCACCACCCCACCGCAAUCACCUCAACCACUCGACCACCACCCUCACCCUGCUCUCCACCUCCCUCGAACUCCCCUGCCCCUCCCCUGUUUCUUUUCUCUUUCCUUGCUCACAACACCACCAACGCAACGCCCCACCACCGUCCAGCAUAACCAUCACUGGCGCAACCCUUCCGCGCCGCCUAGCCAGCCUCCAACGACCUCCCUCCUCCCCAUAACUGAUCGGAAACCCGCUCCCCAACUCCCCUGUUUUCUCGCCUCCCUCGCACUCCCUCCUCCUUCUCUCGCCUGUAUCACCACCGCAAGAGCAACCACCACCCUCACUGCCGCCUUCACCGGCGCCAGGCUUGCGACGCCAAACCACCUAGCCCAGCCGCCUCCUCUCCUCCUCUUUUUUUUCCCUUCCUGCCUCCCCUGUUUCGGCCCCCUUCCCCUGCUCGUGUCCCUUUCCCAGUAAACCCAAAAUUGAGUUUCAAUUGUGAAACCUUGCUUUGUCAUCCAAAUCCAAUUUUAGGAUUGGGCCUUUCAAUUUGGGCCUAUGAAAUUGGACUCGGAGCUCAGGACGAACGAACCAAGGAAAAUCCUUAGCUAUCUUGGAAGUGAGGUACUGCUGGGAACGAUGGAAACGAGUAGUGGCGAGGAUCGGAUUUCACUUUAAUAAUAUUCACCUAGUUAAUGUUCUAUGUUUUGGUAAUUAAUUAAUUAAAUGCUUUUUAGAAAGUUAUGUACUUUUAUU